GAUGAAGAACGUAGCGAAAUGCGAUAAGUAAUGUGAAUUGCAGAAUUCAGUGAAUCAUCGAAUCUUUGAACGCACAUUGCGCCCGCCAGCAUUCUGGCGGGCAUGCCUGUUCGAGCGUCAUUUCAACCCUCAAGCUCUGCUUGGUGUUGGGGCCCUACGGUUGACGUAGGCCCUUAAAGGUAGUGGCGGACCCUCUCGGAGCCUCCUUUGCGUAGUAACUAACGUCUCGCACUGGGAUUCGGAGGGACUCUUGCCGUAAAACCCCCAAAUUUUUAAAGGUUGACCUCGGAUAAGGUAGGAAUACCCGCUGAACUUAAGCAUAUCAAUAAGCGGAGGA
rnacentral:misc_RNA from 1 species